rnacentral:misc_RNA from 1 species
UUUCCACUUCGCGCACACUCACGAAUGCUGCCGCCCCUCCGACGGACCGCUUAUUGCUCAUACCCGUCACUCGAUACUUCAUUAGCGCUCCGCUCUCUCAAGCAGACGGUUCCCUGUACGACGAUUUUUCUGCCGGUGCUCCGAGAACAAAAUGGCGGACGAAAUUGCCGCCCAAAAGCCGAAAAAGACAUCCUCCAAGCCACCAUCUGGUGCAAUUCACUGGCGUCGGAGCCUUUGCUUUUCCACGCCCGGCAGCUGACCAAUGGACUUGAUUUUCGUCACUUCUAUGAAAUUUCAAAUGGUAUUAAAACCACAGAUAUUAAUAUCAUAACUUACAACAAUGAUUGGAGAUCUAUAAUGUUGAACAUUUGACCAUAUAAAAUGUUGUCAGAGACAGUACAUGCAUCUCAAGGUAGAGUUUUAUUAUGUGGGUACAAUCUUUAAUAUGGCCAUGCUGUAAGUAAGGAUUUUAUGCUUAAUUCAAGUAAGGAUAGAGAAGUGGGUUUUCAUUACACAAUUAUUUUACCAAUUGGAUUGGUAUAUAAGUAUUGUGAAUCCAACAUCACGUCAUUAUUAUUAUUCAACCAUCAUUACACACAGGUUGGAAAACUUUCUCCACAGUUAAACCCUGAGUUAGGUUGUUAAUUCUAGGGUUUAUUAGAAGGUUAUUGUUUAUUCAUCGCUAUAAUUAUUAGCCAUGACCAGUGUUGAAGAUUAUACUACUUCAACGCUUAACUAAUUAUAUAUUGACUAAAUCUUCGCUUGUCAACAAUUUCUAAGAUUUUCCAAACCUCAUAUAUUAGAAGUUGGAGUUAUUAUAUCUAAUGGAUGGUCCUUAAGAUGAAGUGUUUAAAAUUGGAAAUGUGUUAUAAACAUUUAGACACAACUGGAUAUUUUUGUAUCUAUUACUUUGUAUUAGCAAAGAGGUUGGUGGAGUGACUGGUGAUCAAUCCCUAAUCAACCCCAUCUAAGUUGCUGUUGUAGACUCAGACAUGAAGUUAACUAGUGCAAAACAAAUUAUACUACAUACAAAUUAUUUUGGCUCUUUAGUUUAGAGCUCUAUGGGCUUGAAGUUGUCAAUUUUUUUUUUAUGUAACAUUUUAUUUUCAACACAAUUUUAAAUCUGUUUGCAUAGUGUUUAUUUAACACAAGUGCCUCCGUAUUCUUUAAAACCCAAAAAUGUAUUUAUUUUGAAAAUAAUAGAAAAUAAUUUGUAAACUAACAUAACUUAAAAGUAAUCAAUAAACACACAACUAUUUGACUUUA